rnacentral:rRNA from 1 species
CUACGGGAUGCAGCAGUGAGGAAUAUUGCACAAUGGGGGGAACCCUGAUGCAGCAACGCCGCGUGGAGGAUGACGCACUUCGGUGUGUAAACUCCUUUUAUAUGUCAAGAAAAUGACGGUAGCAUAUGAAUAAGCACCGGCUAACUCCGUGCCAGCAGCCGCGGUAAUACGGAGGGUGCAAGCGUUACUCGGAAUCACUGGGCGUAAAGGACGCGUAGGCGGGUUGGAAAGUCAGGCGUGAAAUCCUACAGCUUAACUGUAGAACUGCACUUGAAACUUCUAAUCUAGAGUAUGGGAGGGGGAGAUGGAAUUAGUGGUGUAGGGGUAAAAUCCGUAGAUAUCACUAGGAAUACCUAAAGCGAAGGCGAUCUCCUGGAACAUUACUGACGCUAAGGCGUGAAAGCGUGGGGAGCAAACAGGAUUAGAUACCCGGGUAGUC